rnacentral:rRNA from 1 species
GAUGAACGCUGGCGGCGUGCCUAAUACAUGCAAGUCGAGCGGAGAAUUUAGCAAUAGAUUCUUAGCGGCGAACGGGUGAGUAACGCGUUGGUGACCUGCCUCGAAGUUUGGGAUAACAGUUCGAAAGGACUGCUAAUACCGGAUGUGAUCGCGGAGAUUAGAGGCUCUGUGAUUAAAGGAGAAAUUCGCUUCGAGAGGGGCCUGCGUCCCAUCAGCUAGUUGGUAAGGUAAAGGCUUACCAAGGCGAUGACGGGUAGGGGACCUGAGAGGGUGGCCCCCCACAAUGGAACGUGAAACACGGUCCAUACACCUACGGGUGGC